UCUUUCAGUGUAUUUACCUGCAAAUGUAAAUUCACUUGAAUUUCUUCCACCAAAUCUUGUCGUAAGAGGAGAAAACAUGUAUUUACAAGCAAUGACGCGUUUUUUAGCAUUCGAAAAAAUUUGAACAUAGCAAUGAUGGUAAUUGGAUAUGACUAUUUCCCGGGAAAUGUAAAUUUAACUGUAUACAACGGUGCUGUGGCGUUAAGAUCCCACAAUAAAUCAUUUUGCUACUUUGACCAGCAAUAUAUCAAAAGAUGGAUUCAUUCAGACCUGGACAUCAUCACAGACUACAACCAGUCGUUGUGUGUAAGUCGUGGCAAAUUAUGUCACGAGCAAUGUAUUGGGUGUCUUGGACCAGGAAAUAUGAGAUGCAUAUCCUGCAAAAAUUUUAUAUUUCGCUCAGAAAAACACACAUUUUGCUUACAAAACUGUACGGAGGAUUUUUACUUCAAAGGAAAAACUUGUUACGCGUGCAGUGAAAUGUGCCAAAGUGGCUGCACUGAGAGACGAUCAAUGCAAUGAAUGUAAAGUAGCUUAUUUCAAUAAUUCUUGUAUCCGAGAAUGCCCUCCGAGUCAUUUUUAGCGAAUAAAACAUGUUAUCCCUGUGCAGACUCAUGCAAACCUUCAAAGAAUCUGAAAAGGACUUGUCACAGGCCUGAAAACUCUUUAAGUCCAACUGGCUGUGUUGAGUGCUUGUAUAAGCAGAUUAUAAAAAAUAAUAAGCAGAUUAUAAAAAAUAAUUCGAUUAUCUGUUUGUCAGAUAAUGACCUUGCCCC